GGGUCAGUAGGUUGGUCGUGCCACCGGUACGUACUGGUCUCACUGAUUCCUCCUUCCUGAAGAACCGUAAUGCCAUUAAUUUGGUGUUGCGGGGAAGCAGGACUGUUACUUUGGAAAAGUUAGAGUGUUUAAAGCAAGCUAACGCUUGAAUACAUUAGCAUGGAAUAAUGAAAUAGGACGAUCGAUCCUAUUUUGUUGGUUUCUAGGAUUGACGUA
rnacentral:rRNA from 1 species